rnacentral:rRNA from 1 species
GGAUUCUGAGACACGAAUCCAGACCCUACGGGGUGCAGCAGGCGCGAAAACUUCACACUGCAGGAAACUGUGAUGAGGGAACUCCAAGUGCGCGCACUUAGUGUGCGCUUUUGUUGACUAUUAAUCGGUCAAUGAAUAAGGGCUGGGAAAGACCGGUGCCAGCCGCCGCGGUAAUACCGGCAGCUCAAGUGGUCGUCGCUUUUAUUGGGCCUAAAACGUCCGUAGCCUGUUUGGUAAAUCUGUGGGUAAAUCAACCAGCUUAACUGGUUGAAUUCUGCAGAGACUGCCAGACUAGGGACCGGGAGAGGUGUGGGGUACUCUAGGGGUAGGGGUAAAAUCCUGUCAUCCUUAGAGGACCACCAGUUGCGAAGGCGCCACACUGGAACGGAUUCGACGGUCAGGGACGAAGCCUAGGGGCACGAACCGGAUUAGAUACCCGGGUAGUCCUAGGUGUAAACGCUGUGAACUUGGUGUCGGGGAUCCGUCAUGGGUCCCCGGUGCCGGAGUGAAGAUGUUAAGUUCACUGCCUGGGGAGUACGGUCGCAAGGCUGAAACUUAAAGGAAUUGGCGGGGGAGCACUGCAACGGGAGGAGCGUGCGGUUUAAUUGGAUUCAACGCCGGAAAACUCACCAGGGCCGACUGUUAGAUGAAGACCAGUGUAACGAACUUGUCGGAUUUUCAGAGAGGUGGUGCAUGGCCGUCGUCAGUUCGUACUGUAAAGCGUUCUGUUAAGUCAGAUAACGAACGAGACCCUCAUCUCUAUUUGCUACCUGUCUCUCCGGAGACAGCGCACUAUAGAGAGACCGCUGGUGUUAAACCAGAGGAAGGCGAGGGCAACGACAGGUCAGUAUGCCCCGAAUGUCCUGGGCUACAC